GAUGAACGCUGGCGGAGUGCCUAAUACAUGCAAGUCGAGCGAACGGACGUGAAGCUUGCAUCUCUGCUGUUAGCGGCGGAUGGGUGACUCAUACGUGAAUUACCUACCUAUCAGACUUGACUAACUUCGGGACACCGCAACUAAUACCGGAUUAUUUUUUGUACAGCACGGUUCAAAAGUGAAAGACGCUCUUGCUGUCCCUUAUAGCUGGUUCCGCGCUGCAUUAGCUAGUUGGUAAGGUAACGGCAUACAAAGGCAACGAUGCAUAGCCGACAUGAGAGGGAUAUCUGCCACACUGGAACGGAUACACGGUCCAGACGCCUACGGGAGGCAGCAGUAGGGAAUAUGCCGCAAUGGGCGAAAGCCUGACGGAGCAACGCCGCGUGAGUGAUGAAGGUCUUCGGAUCGUAAAACGCUGUUAUUAGGGAAGAACAUAUGUGUAAGUAACUGAGCACAUAUUGACGGUACCUAAUCAGAAAGCCACGGCUAACUACGUG
rnacentral:rRNA from 1 species